CAGCAGUGUGCUUCCCUGUCGACUGUUCGCUGCAAGUGCUGAGGCCCACUUGAGCAGCAGAAAAACACAAUGGGACCCGGGGAGAAGCUCUGAUCUGAGUGGAGAUCCUUUUGUGUGCUGUACUCACUGAGGCAGGCAAUUCUACACCUGGACGGGGUCCUCUGAGACCACGCAGCCCAGCCUUGGUUCCCAGAGUUUUGCCUGAAAAUCAGGACUCCUGCCCUCAUGCCAGGAUUCCAGGCCCAGGAAAUAACUAAACUGAAAGAAAGAGUGACAACUGCCAGAGCAGCGUUCCUUACACAGCAG